CACGUAGGAGGCGAGCGUUGUCCGGAAUCAUUGGGCGUAAAGAGCGUGUAGGCGGCCCGGUAAGUCCGCUGUGAAAGUCGGGGGCUCAACCCUCGAAUGCCGGUGGAUACUGUCGGGCUAGAGUGCGGAAGAGGCGAGUGGAAUUCCUGGUGUAGCGGUGAAAUGCGCAGAUAUCAGGAGGAACACCGAUGGCGAAGGCAGGUCUCUGGGCCACUACUGACGCUGAGAAGCGAAAGCGUGGGGAGCAAACAGG
rnacentral:rRNA from 1 species